UGGUGUUCGGGUUGUCAUGCCAAUGGCACUGCCCGGUAGCUAAAUGCGGAAGAGAUAAGUGCUGAAAGCAUCUAAGCACGAAACUUGCCCCGAGAUGAGUUCUCCCUGAGACUAUAAGUCUCCUGAAGGAACGUURAAGACKAYGACGUUGAUAGGUCGGGUGUGUAAGCGCAGCGAUGCGUUGAGCUAACCGAUACUAAUGAACCGUGAGGCUUAACCUU
rnacentral:rRNA from 1 species